rnacentral:rRNA from 1 species
AACGAACGCUGGCGGCAUGCCUAACACAUGCAAGUCGAACGAACCCUUCGGGGUGAGCGGCGCACGGGUGCGUAACACGUGGGAACCUGCCCUUAGGUUCGGAAUAACAUAGAGAAAUUUGUGCUAAUACCGGAUAAUGUCUUCGGACCAAAGAUUUAUCGCCUUUGGAUGGGCCCGCGUAGGAUUAGCUAGUUGGUGAGGUAAAGGCUCACCAAGGCGACGAUCCUUAGCUGGUCUUAGAGGAUGAUCAGCCACACUGGGACUGAGACACGGCCCAGACUCCUACGGGAGGCAGCAGUGGGGAAUAUUGGACAAUGGGCGAAAGCCUGAUCCAGCAAUGCCGCGUGAGUGAUGAAGGCCUUAGGGUUGUAAAGCUCUUUUACUGGGGAUGAUAAUGACAGUACCCAGAGAAUAAGCCCCGGCUAACUCCGUGCCAGCAGCCGCGGUAAUAC